GGAGUUUGGACCGUGUCUCAGUUCCAAUGUGGGGGACCUUCCUCUCAGAACCCCUACUGAUCGAUGGCUAGGUGGGCCGUUACCCCACCAACCAGCUAAUCGGACGCAGGCCCAUCCCCCGGCGAUAGCUUAUAAAUAGAGGCCAUCUUUCAAAUCCGUACCAUGCGGCACAGACUUCGUAUCCGGUAUUAGCACCCCUUUCGGAGUGUUGUCCCCGGCCGGAGGGCAGGUUGCCUACGCGUUACUCACCCGUUCGCCACUAGGAUUCUGCCGAAACAAAAUCCCCGUUCGACUUGCAUGUGUUAGGCACGCCGCCAGCGUUCGUC
rnacentral:rRNA from 1 species